CACCGGCGCUAUUGAUCGCGUCGCGGGUCUGAUUACCGGCUUGUCCCCCGCCGCAUCAGGCUUGGACAAAGGCCUUAUCCCCCUCUCCGGGCCUUUGUCCCCAUUUUAAAGUCGCCAUGGCCAACCUCCAGGUCAUGGCGACUUUUG
rfam:Rhizobium etli CFN 42, complete genome.